rnacentral:rRNA from 1 species
AUUGAACGCUGGCGGCAGGCCUAACACAUGCAAGUCGAGCGGUAACAGGAAGUAGCUUGCUACUUCGCUGACGAGCGGCGGACGGGUGAGUAAUGCCUGGGAAUAUGCCUUGAUGUGGGGGAUAACUAUUGGAAACGAUAGCUAAUACCGCAUAAUGCCUACGGGCCAAAGAGGGGGAUCUUCGGACCUCUCGCGUCAAGAUUAGCCCAGGUGGGAUUAGCUAGUUGGUGGGGUAAAGGCUCACCAAGGCGACGAUCCCUAGCUGGUCUGAGAGGAUGAUCAGCCACACUGGAACUGAGACACGGUCCAGACUCCUACGGGAGGCAGCAGUGGGGAAUAUUGCACAAUGGGGGAAACCCUGAUGCAGCCAUGCCGCGUGUAUGAAGAAGGCCUUCGGGUUGUAAAGUACUUUCAGCAGUGAGGAAGGUGGUAGUGUUAAUAGCGCUAUCAUUUGACGUUAGCUGCAGAAGAAGCACCGGCUAACUCCG